rnacentral:rRNA from 1 species
AUUGAACGCUGGCGGCAGGCCUAACACAUGCAAGUCGAAUGGUAACAGGAAACAGCUUGCUGUUUCGCUGACGAGUGGCGGACGGGUGAGUAAUGUCUGGGAAACUGCCUGAUGGAGGGGGAUAACUACUGGAAACGGUAGCUAAUACCGCAUAACGUCGCAAGACCAAAGAGGGGGACCUUCGGGCCUCUUGCCAUCAGAUGUGCCCAGAUGGGAUUAGCUAGUAGGUGGGGUAACGGCUCACCUAGGCGACGAUCCCUAGCUGGUCUGAGAGGAUGACCAGCCACACUGGAACUGAGACACGGUCCAGACUCCUACGGGAGGCAGCAGUGGGGAAUAUUGCACAAUGGGCGCAAGCCUGAUGCAGCCAUGCCGCGUGUAUGAAGAAGGCCUUCGGGUUGUAAAGUACUUUCAGCGGGGAGGAAGGAAGUAAAGUUAAUACCUUUGCUCAUUGACGUUACCCGCAGAAGAAGCACCGGCUAACUCCGUG